CCAGCAUCAGUAAAUCACCAUGCAGCUCAGAGAGAGAUACAGGGGGUACCCAUCACCACCCUGCAGGGUGAUUCACGGCACUCCAGAGUCCAAAUCCGAGCCCCCGGACAUUCAAGGAAGGAGUUACACGCAGCCAAAAAACCCAGGAUAAGCGCGUCCAGUUGCCCAAUUGCGUCAUGCUUCCUCUCCACCAAUGCCGAACCCUGCUCCGAUUGAGGAGAACGAAGCUAACCCACGCCCCUUCCGACCCGUGGGCAGCAGCCGUAUGCAUUUUGUCUCCUACACUUUGAUGAGUGCAAUGCGGAUCAGCACUGUGUACGGAGAGACACACCCUGACAGCACUCUUUUCUCAUCUCUGUGCAGGCGCCAUCAAUCAAAUGAAUGUAACCAAAGUGUAAAACAUUUACAUGUUAAAAUCCAAUAAACAAACAAA